GACGAACGCUGGCGGCGUGCUUAACACAUGCAAGUCGAACGGAAAGGCCCUGCUUUUGUGGGGUGCUCGAGUGGCGAACGGGUGAGUAACACGUGAGUAACCUGCCCUUGACUUUGGGAUAACUUCAGGAAACUGGGGCUAAUACCGGAUAGGAGCUCCUGCUGCAUGGUGGGGGUUGGAAAGUUUCGGCGGUUGGGGAUGGACUCGCGGCUUAUCAGCUUGUUGGUGGGGUAGUGGCUUACCAAGGCUUUGACGGGUAGCCGGCCUGAGAGGGUGACCGGCCCCAUUGGGACUGAGAUACGGCCCAGACUCCUACGGGAGGCAGCAGUGGGGAAUAUUGCACAAUGGGCGGAAGCCUGAUGCAGCAACGCCGCGUGCGGGAUGACGGCCUUCGGGUUGUAAACCGCUUUCGCCUGUGACGAAGCAUGAGUGACGGUAAUGGGUAAAGAAGCACCGGCUAACUACGUG
rnacentral:rRNA from 1 species